rnacentral:tRNA from 1 species
GGAUUUAGCUCAGUGGCAUAAGCACCUGCCUUGCAAGCAGGUGGUCGUGAGUUCGAUCCCCGCUCCA